CCGCUAUGAAAGUUCGGACAGAGUCUAGUCCUUGUAGAAGGCUGAAAGGAGAUCACUUAUUAUAGAAGCUUGGUCGAAGAUCGGCUAUCGUGGGAGCUCGGAGUAUCGAUCUGGCCGAUGGGUCCUGUCCCAUUGUAGAAGCUCAUCUGGGAUCCGACUAUGAAGAAGCUCGGUUGAAGUCUACCUAUAAUAAAAGUUCAAAAGAAAUGUAUUUACAGUAGGGGCUCGAAUGGAAUUUGCUUACAGUAGAGGUCCGGAGUAGACCGCUCGCUGUAGAAGCUCGGAGUAGACCGCUCGUAGUAGAAGUUAGGAGCAGACCGCUCGCUAUAGG
rnacentral:lncRNA from 1 species